GAUCGGAAAGAAUAAGUCUUCCAUGUUCAAGAUAACUUCUAGAUUAUUUUUUUUUUUGUUGGUUUGAUGGAAAGCUAACCUUUAGAGUUGGUGAGAACAAAUGUGACGGAUGAAAGCAUAUUUACACCUGUUGAUGAUACUAAGCAUGAAAUCGAAUCUGUCCAGCACUAGCUUAGUAUUCUUGCACUAUGCCUCGCACUAGGACAGUAUAUUUCAUGGGGAAAACUACUUGAGACAUUUACAACUACAGAUUGGUUGGAUACGCAGUCAUUUCAGAAGGUUAUCCAA
rnacentral:lncRNA from 1 species